UAGAAAAUGUAUUUAUAAAGAUCAGAGUUAGUAUUAGUUAAGGUCUUGAAACUCAAAAAAUUUGGCGGUAUUUUAGUCUAUUUAGAGGAACCUGUAGUGUAAUCGAUAAUCCACGAUGGACCUCACUUAAUUUUGUUUUCAGUUUGUAUACCGCUGUUAUUUGAAUAUUUUAUAAGAAUAUUAAUUUUCUUAAUUUUUAAUUAAAAAAUAAAUCAGGUCAAGGUGCAGCUUAUGAUUAAGUAUUUAUGGGUUACAAUAAAUUUAUUUAUAUGGAUGAAAUUAUGAAAUUUAAUUUUUGAAAGCGGAUUUAAUAGUAAAUUUUUAGAGAUAAAAGAAUUGAUU
rnacentral:rRNA from 1 species